rnacentral:tRNA from 1 species
GCCGGGAUGGCGGAAUAGGUAUACGCGCGGCACUUAAAAUGCCGUCCACUUUGUGGAUGCGGGUUCGAUUCCCGCUCCCGGCA